GUUCCCCAACCCAGUCCUCAUGGGCCACCAACAGUCCAGGUUUUGUCAAUAUCUCCAUUGGAAUAAAACAGGGACAUUUAUAAAUCCUGGACUGUUGGUGGUCCAUGAGGACAAGGUUGGGGAC